GUCUAUUUCAUCUGCUUUAAUACAUAUACAUAGAUAGCAAUGAAGUGUGUUUUUAUGUGUGUGAUAUUGGUGAUAAUGGGAGGAAGCACCUGGGCACAAGACACGUGCUCGUCAUCGCUGUCGAGUCUGAACGUGUGUACACCGUUCGUGGUGCCUGGCUCGACCGGGAACCCUAGUUCCGACUGUUGUGGCGCUCUUCAAAGCGUCAGCCACGAUUGCUUGUGCAGCACCCUCCGCAUUGCCUCUCGUAUCCCCGCCCAAUGCAACCUCCCUCCCUUCUCUUGCCCAAACUGACCUUGGAACUUCAAUCUAACUUUGGGACUUCUUUGCAAUAAAACUUGGAACUUACAUGUAGCCAACAAAGAUGAUUUCUAUUUUUGAGCAAUAAAACUACUUUUAUGA